UACGAAGGGUGCAAGCGUUAAUCGGAAUUACUGGGCGUAAAGGGUGCGUAGGCGGUUCGUUAAGUCUGUCGUGAAAUCCCCGGGCUCAACCUGGGAAUGGCGAUGGAUACUGGCGAGCUAGAGUGUGUCAGAGGAUGGUGGAAUUCCCGGUGUAGCGGUGAAAUGCGUAGAGAUCGGGGGGAACAUCAGUGGCGAAGGCGGCCAUCUGGGACAACACUGACGCUGAAGCACGAAAGCGUGGGGAGCAAACAGG
rnacentral:rRNA from 1 species